rnacentral:rRNA from 1 species
AGCAGCCGCGGUAAUUCCAGCUCCAAUAGCGUAUAUUAAAGUUGUUGCAGUUAAAAAGCUCGUAGUUGAACUUCGGGAUCAAUGGAUCGGUCAUGCCAUCGGUAUGUACUGGUCUCAUUGGUUCUCACCUUCUAAGGAACCUUAAUGUCAUUCAUUUGAUGUUUUGGGGAAUUAGGACUGUUACCUUGAAAAAAUUAGAGUGUUUAAAGCAGGCUAACGCUUGAAUACAUUAGCAUGGAAUAAUGAAAUAGGACAUCGCAUUCUAUUUUGUUGGUUUCUAGGAUCGAUGUAAUGAUUAAUAGGGAUAGUUGGGGGCAUUAGUAUUCAAUUGUCAGAGGUGAAAUUCUUGGAUUUAUUGAAGACUAACUACUGCGAAAGCAUUUGCCAAGGAUGUUUUCAUUAAUCAAGAACGAAAGUUAGGGGAUCGAAGACGAUCAGAUACCGUCGUAGUCUUAACCAUAAACUAUGCCGACUAGGGAUCGGAUGAUGUUGAUUUUUUAAUGACUCAUUCGGCACCUUACG